CCAUCUUAGGGCAGGGUAAAACCUGUUAGUUAACGCCGAAACUGAGCUGCUGAAUUCAGGCCCACCUGGGGGACAGUGCUUCACACCAGAGCCCUGAGAGCUCAUGACUCAUCACAUGGAUAUAAAAUCUAACAUACGAGUUCCCAGUCUGAGCUGUAGUUCAUGAAAAUUACCUCCCAAACCAUUAUUCGCUGAAGAUAGAUGUCACACCCAGGACAUGGAUGGUCUAUCCAGCCGUUCAGAAAGGUU